CCUGAGAAACCCAAAAGAUCGAAUGGGGAGAUUCAUCGUCAGCGAUUUCGGCGCGCGUGCGGUUCGCGAUGUCGGAGACUUCGGUUUCCAGACACGCGUCCGCAUGUGUUUAUCUUUGCCUUAAACGUCGGCGUGCACUUCUCCCCUAGUAGGACGUCGCGACCCGUUGGGUGUCGGUCUACGGCCCGGGUGGUAGCCUGUCUCGUGUUCGCUUCGCGGCGUUACGCGGUUCAGACCCCCGGUUGCCCGACCGGCUGCCCGGCGGUACGCGCACGGUAUCUGGCCGCAAACAUUCGAACUGCGUCCGGCCCGUCGCAAGCGAGGCAAGUGUUUCCCGGCUGUACGGAUCUAAUGCCGUCACCGGGCCUUGCCAGCUGUUGGUUGACGGUGUCCUGGGACUGGCCAAUUCAAUUAUGAUACCGGUCGGCGACGCUACUGCUUUGGGUACUUUCAGGACCCGUCUUGAAACACGGACCAAGGAGUCUAACAUGUGCGCGAGUCAUUGGGUAUUAUUAAGCCUAAAGGCGCAAUGAAAGUGAAGGUCGGCCUUGCGCCGACCGAGGGAGGAUGGGCCGCGUCACGAUGCGGUCCCGCACUCCCGGGGCGUCUCGUUCUCAUUGCGAGAAGAGGCGCACCCAGAGCGUACACGUUGGGA
rnacentral:rRNA from 1 species